GGCGCAGCACGGCUCACGCGGCCGAGCACCGUGCCAGGUGCAGCAUCUCUGCACUCGGCGCCCUGCCGCCAGGUGCAGGUGUGGCCGGGUUCUCGGGCGCUUCUGCACACGACCCGCCCGUCGAGGUGGCGGCGCCGCCGUUUGCCACAAGAGCUCGGCCCUGAAAGGCCUGCGCGAGGCCUCUGCACGCAGCCCCUGUGAGCGGGAGAAAAAGCCCCGAGGAAAAGAAACAGGCAUUCAAAGGCUGGAAUAAUCCAUUGCCUGUACUGUAAGAGGAAAUUAAAGGAGGUCCUUCAGGCAGAAGACAGAUGCUGCGAGGUGGAAAUACGGGACCUGCCCAGACGAGUGGAGAGCACAGGAGAUGAUCACCGCACUGCACGUGUAGGGUAAUCUCUUCCCUCUUCAGUCUGUUUCGAAGGUAAUUGUUUAAGCCACAAAAAACUGUGUCUGAGGUUGUAACACAUACGAGCGUAAAAUGAAUGCGAACAGGGGCACAGGGGCUGGAAGAAGUGGAAGCUGCUUAUCUAAACGCAGCGUGGUGCGCUGUCACUGGAAGCUCGAUCGCAAUAGGUUACACAAGGCAACAUAAACCUUAGAGCAACCACUGAACUAAAAGCCACCAAGAGUGAACAGCUAAUAAGCCACCAAGGUUGUGAAGGUAUUGAGAUGGAGAUCAGUUUUGCCAUCGAUAAAUAUCCACUUUUAUGUUGCCAUUGAUAAAUAUCAGCAUCUGUUGAUAUGGAGAUCGAUGUGGAUAUUGAUAAAGAUAUUCAGCUCACCUGAAGCAAGGUAGUAAACAAGGAAAAACAGAAAAGGAAAAUACGGACAAAGAGGAAACUGAUCGCCGGUUGAUGGAUUCAACCCUGGCAGUACCAGGGACGCAUUAUGGAAGUGGUCCUGCCUGAGCACCGGCCGUGCUCCUGGUAGUCCUCUCUGGUGGUCCUCUCCCCACCACAGGUGGGGGCUUCACAGGUGUUCUCCCAUCACUGCUCACUGCAAACCAGGACAGCAGUUCUGUCUCUUCGUAGCUCUCUUUCCCGCUCUGCUCUGGAAAGCUCUGGUUGCCCUGAAUUCCCAGCUCUGUCUCUUCAACUCAGGGAGCCCGCUGGGCUGCACCACGGCUCCCUCUCCUUGUCCUAGAAACUCUCAAGCUGCAAAGCUGAGCCACCCGUAGGGCUGAUCUCACGUGUGUCCUUCCUUUCGGGAUCAAGGUUCUUCACUGCUUAGCAUUCAGUGUCUUGCCAUCUGUUGCUUCAUGUAAUUUAUUGGUUUUUGGGGUUGCUUCAGGUGGGAAGGCAAAUUCAGUUUCUGUUAUUACACCUCGGUCAGCGCAGAAAUCAGUUUUUUCCUUUUAUUGCUGAGAGAUUCCAUGGUAUGGCUGUACUACAGUUUGUUUAUCCAUUUACUUGUGGAAGGUCUAGGUCGUUUUUAGUUUUUGGCACUUACAAAUAAAGCAUUUAUAAACAG